rnacentral:rRNA from 1 species
GACGAACGCUGGCGGCGUGCUUAACACAUGCAAGUCGAACGGAAAGGCCCUGCUUUUGUGGGGUGCUCGAGUGGCGAACGGGUGAGUAACACGUGAGUAACCUGCCCUUGACUUUGGGAUAACUUCAGGAAACUGGGGCUAAUACCGGAUAGGAGCUCCUGCUGCAUGGUGGGGGUUGGAAAGUUUCGGCGGUUGGGGAUGGACUCGCGGCUUAUCAGCUUGUUGGUGGGGUAGUGGCUUACCAAGGCUUUGACGGGUAGCCGGCCUGGGAGGGUGACCGGCCACAUUGGGACUGAGAUACGGCCCAGACUCCUACGGGAGGCAGCAGUGGGGAAUAUUGCACAAUGGGCGGAAGCCUGAUGCAGCAACGCCGCGUGCGGGAUGACGGCCUUUGGGUUGUAAACCGCUUUCGCCUGUGACGAAGCGUGAGUGACGGUAAUGGGUAAAGAAGCACCGGCUAACUACGUG